rnacentral:rRNA from 1 species
GAUGAACGCUGGCGGCGUGCCUAAUACAUGCCAGUCGAGCGAACGGACGAGAAGCUUGCUUCUCUGAUGUUAGCGGCGGACGGGUGAGUAACACGUGGAUAACCUACCUAUAAGACUGGGAUAACUUCGGGAAACCGUAGCUAAUACCGGAUAAUAUUUUGAACCGCAUGGUUCAAAAGUGAAAGACGGUCUUGCUGUCACUUAUAGAUGGAUCCGCGCUGCAUUAGCUAGUUGGUAAGGUAACGGCUUACCAAGGCAACGAUGCAUAGCCGACCUGAGAGGGUGAUCGGCCACACUGGAGCUGAGACACGGUCCAGACUCCUACGGGAGGCAGCAGUAGGGAAUCUUCCGCAAUGGGCGAAAGCCUGACGGAGCAACGCCGCGUGAGUGAUGAAGGUCUUCGGAUCGUAAAACGCUGUUAUUAGGGAAGAACAUAUGUGUAAGUAACUGUGCACAUCUUGACGGGACCUAAUCAGAAAGCCACGGCUAACUACGU